rnacentral:rRNA from 1 species
AGCGAACGCUGGCGGCAUGCCUAACACAUGCAAGUCGAACGAGACCUUCGGGUCUAGUGGCGCACGGGUGCGUAACGCGUGGGAACCUGCCCUUAGGUUCGGAAUAACUCCCCGAAAGGGGUGCUAAUACCGGAUAAUGUCUUCGGACCAAAGAUUUAUCGCCUUUGGAUGGGCCCGCGUUGGAUUAGCUAGUUGGUAGGGUAAAAGCCUACCAAGGCGACGAUCCAUAGCUGGUCUGAGAGGAUGAUCAGCCACACUGGGACUGAGACACGGCCCAGACUCCUACGGGAGGCAGCAGUGGGGAAUAUCGGACAAUGGGCGAAAGCCUGAUCCAGCAAUGCCGCGUGAGUGAUGAAGGCCUUAGGGUUGUAAAGCUCUUUUACCCGGGAUGAUAAUGACAGUACCGGGAGAAUAAGCUCCGGCUAACUCCGUG